rnacentral:tRNA from 1 species
GGGGUUGUGGCUCAAUGGUAGAGCGCUCGCCUAGCAUGUGUGAGGCACUGGGUUCGAUCUUCAGCACCACA